AAUGAACGCUGGCGGCAUGCCUAACACAUGCAAGUCGAACGAGACCUUCGGGUCUAGUGGCGCACGGGUGCGUAACGCGUGGGAAUCUACCCUUGGGUUCGGAAUAACUUCGGGAAACUGAAGCUAAUACCGGAUGAUGACGUAAGCCCAAAGAUUUAUCGCCCAAGGAUGAGCCCGCGUAGGAUUAGCUAGUUGGUGAGGUAAAGGCUCACCAGGGCUACGAUCCUUAGCUGGUCGGAGAGGAUGAUCAGCCACACUGGGAUUGGGAAACGGCCCAGACUCCUACGGGAGGCAGCAGUGGGGAAUAUUGGACAAUGGGCGAAAGCCUGAUCCAGCAAUGCCGCGUGAGUGAUGAAGGCCUUAGGGUUGUAAAGCUCUUUUACCCGGGAUGAUAAUGACAGUACCGGGAGAAUAAGCUCCGGCUAACUUCGUGCCAGCCGCCGCCGUAAGAC
rnacentral:rRNA from 1 species